rnacentral:rRNA from 1 species
GACGAACGCUGGCGGCGUGCCUAAUACAUGCAAGUCGAGCGAAGUUUUGCUGGUCCUUGCACUAGGAAAACUUAGCGGCGAACGGGUGAGUAACACGUAAAGAACCUGCCUCAUAGACGGGGACAACUAGGGGAAACGAGAUCUAAUACCGGAUAACAGUAUUUCUCGCAGGAGAGAUAUUUAAGAGUUGUUUGUGCUAACACUAUGAGAUGUCUUUGCGGUGCAUUGCUAGUUGGUGGGGUAAAGGCCCACCAAGGCGACGAUGCAUAGCCGACCUGAGAGGGUGAUCGGCCACACUGGGACUGAGACACGGCCCAGACUCCUACGGGAGGCAGCAGUAGGGAAUCUUCCGCAAUGGGCGAAAGCCUGACGGAGCAACGCCGCGUGAGUGAAGAAGGAUUUCGGUUCGUAAAGCUCUGUUGUUAGGGAAGAACGGAUAUGUAGUAACUAAACAUGUACGAGACGGUACCUAACCAGAAAGCCACGGCUAACUACGUG